GCGGAUAUAGUUCAGUGGUAGAACGAAAGCUUCCCAAGCUUUAGGUGAGAGUUCGAUUCUCUUUAUCCGCUC
rnacentral:tRNA from 1 species